UCAGACGAUGCGUCAUGCAUAUCAAUAAGCGGAGGAAAAGAAACUAACAAGGAUUCCCCUAGUAACGGCGAGUGAAGCGGGAAGAGCUCAAAUUUGAAAUCUUAAAGGGUUUCCCUUUACGAAUUGUAGUUUAAAGAAGUGUUUUCUGUUGAGGUUUUGGUAAAAGUUCUUUGGAAUAGGACAUCAUAGAGGGUGAGAAUCCCGUAUUUGACCUUUACUUUCAACCUUGUGAUACACUUUCAAAGAGUCGGAUUGUUUGGGAAUGCAGUCCAAAAUGGGUGGUAAAUUUCAUCUAAAGCUAAAUAUUGGCGAGAGACCGAUAGCGAACAAGUACCGUGAGGGAAAGAUGAAAAGAACUUUGAAAAGAGAGUUAAACAGUACGUGAAAUUGUCAAAAGGGAAGCGUUUGACACCAGUGUUGUUUUUCUGAAAAUCAAUUAAAGAACUGUUUAUGCUAAGUUGUUUAGACUUUAUCAGCUAACUGUUUAGUUUUGAGCUUUUCUUUAAUGCACUUUUCAGUUAACAAGUCAACAUCAAUUUCUUUUGCUGUAAAAAAGCUUGAGGAAGGUGGCUUGAGAUUCGUCUUAAGUGUUUAUAGCCUCUUGCCUAUGCAGUCGGAGAGAUUGAGGUCUGCAGCGUAGAUCCUUCGGGGCUAAAUGCAUUUGUGCUAAGUUAUAGCAUUUUAUAGACAACUUGUUGACUAUGAUUUGUCUUGUAGCUUACUCGCUUAUGUUAUUUUACCUACGCUUAGGAUGUUGAAUCUGUGCGAGACUAC
rnacentral:rRNA from 1 species